AUUGAACGCUGGCGGCAUGCCUUACACAUGCAAGUCGAACGGCAGCACGGGAGCUUGCUCCUGGUGGCGAGUGGCGAACGGGUGAGUAAUACAUCGGAACGUACCCUGAAGUGGGGGAUAACGUAGCGAAAGUUACGCUAAUACCGCAUAUUCUGUGAGCAGGAAAGAGGGGGAUCGCAAGACCUCUUGCUUUAGGAGCGGCCGAUGUCGGAUUAGCUAGUUGGUGAGGUAAAGGCUCACCAAGGCGACGAUCCGUAGCGGGUCUGAGAGGAUGAUCCGCCACACUGGGACUGAGACACGGCCCAGACUCCUACGGGAGGCAGCAGUGGGGAAUUUUGGACAAUGGGGGCAACCCUGAUCCAGCCAUGCCGCGUGCGGGAAGAAGGCCUCGGUUGUAACCGCUUUAGCCGGAGAAAGGACGGGGGCGUAACGACCCUA
rnacentral:rRNA from 1 species